GACGAACGCUGGCGGCGUUCUUAACACAUGCAAGUCGAACGGAAAGGCCCUGCUUUUGUUGGGUGCUCGAGUGGCGAACGGGUGAGUAACACGUGAGUAACCUGCCCUUUACUUUGGGAUAACUUCAGGAAACUGGGGCUAAUACCGGAUAGGAGCUCCUGCUGCAUGUUGGGGGUUGGAAAGUUUCGGCGGUUGGGGAUGGACGCGCGGCUUAUCAGCUUGUUGGUGGGGUAGUGGCUUACCAAGGCUUUGACGGGUAGCCGGGCUGAGAGGGUGACCGGGCACGUUGGGGCUGAGAUGCCGGCCAGACUCGUCCGGGAGGGAGCAGUGGGGAAUAUUGCACAAUGGGGGGAAGCCUGAUGCAGGAACCCCGCGUGCGGGAUGACGGCAAUCGGGUUGUAAACCGCUUUCGACUGUGACGAAGAGUGAGUGACGGUAAUGGGUAAAGAAGCACCGGCUAACUAAGUG
rnacentral:rRNA from 1 species